AGUGAACGCUGGCGGUAGGCCUAACACAUGCAAGUCGAACGGCAGCACAGUAAGAGCUUGCUCUUACGGGUGGCGAGUGGCGGACGGGUGAGGAAUACAUCGGAAUCUACUUUUUCGUGGGGGAUAACGUAGGGAAACUUACGCUAAUACCGCAUACGACCUACGGGUGAAAGCAGGGGAUCUUCGGACCUUGCGCGAUUGAAUGAGCCAAUGUCGGGUUAGCUAGUUGGCGGGGUAAAGGCCCACCAAGGCGACGAUCCGUAGCUGGUCUGAGAGGAUGAUCAGCCACACUGGAACUGAGACACGGUCCAGACUCCUACGGGAGGCAGCAGUGGGGAAUAUUGGACAAUGGGCGCAAGCCUGAUCCAGCCAUACCGCGUGGGUGAAGAAGGCCUUCGGGUUGUAAAGCCCUUUUGUUGGGAAAGAAAAGCAGCAGGUUAAUACCCCGCUGUUCUGACGGUACCCAAAGAAUAAGCACCGGCUAACUUCGUG
rnacentral:rRNA from 1 species